rnacentral:sRNA from 1 species
AGCAUUAUUACCGCCAUUCCUCAUUUGGCGGGCUAGCUGGCAGCUGCACCGAACCCGCCCUCGUGGCGGGUUUU